AUGCUUAUGUUUCGGCAGCACAUAUACUAAAAUUGGAAUGAUACAGAGCAGAUUAAUAUGGCCCCUGCACAAGGAUGACAUGCAAAUUCAUGAAGUGUUCCAUAUUUUU